ACGAAGGGGGCUAGCGUUGCUCGGAAUCACUGGGCGUAAAGCGCACGUAGGCGGAUCGCUAAGUCAGGGGUGAAAUCCUGGAGCUCAACUCCAGAACUGCCUUUGAUACUGGCAAUCUCGAGUCCGGGAGAGGUGAGUGGAACUGCGAGUGUAGAGGUGAAAUUCGUAGAUAUUCGCAAGAACACCAGUGGCGAAGGCGGCUCACUGGCCCGGUACUGACGCUGAGGUGCGAAAGCGUGGGGAGCAAACAGG
rnacentral:rRNA from 1 species